rnacentral:rRNA from 1 species
GACAGAGGGUGCAAACGUUGCUCGGAAUCACUGGGCGUAAAGGGCGUGUAGGCGGGGCGGUAAGUCGGGCGUGAAAAGUCCCUAGGCUCAACCUAGGAACUGCACUCGAAACUCCAUCUUGAGUGUGGAGAGGAAAGCGGAAUUCCUGGUGUAGAGGUGAAAUUCGUAGAUAUCAGGAGGAACACCAGUGGCGAAGGCGGCUUUCUGGACGAUAACUGACGCUGAGACGCGAAAGCGUGGGGAGCAAACAGG